AGAAGAGGGGAAAAAGAGAAAGAUAUUUAUUAGCUUUCUACCAUUUUCCUUUGUGGUUUUUUUUUUCAUCUUCCUGUACUACGCUAAUUCAUAGCAUUU
rnacentral:ribozyme from 1 species